AAGCCAAAGCCAAAGCCGAAACAAGCCGCUGCCCAGUUGCUGCCACUUCGAUAGAAUGUUGCAGUUGACAUUGGCUAAGCGGCUUAAUUUGAGUGGAAUUGGCCAAUUGAUUGAACGGAUUUCCCUAAAAGAUGCUAAAUUGUGCAUAAAAUGCAAUUUAUAAAAUAUACUUAUAAUGAAAUAUUCCAAUCGAUCAAAGUCGCUAUAAUGCUGGAAAAUAAGCUUAAGGUCCUCCUGGUGCCGGCGCAGUAAGAGUUGUUUCCGACAAUCGAUAACUUGGCUCGUUUCCAAGUAAUGUUUUUUGAGCAAAUCUCCCUCCUCCCCGCUACCACCACAUGGCUAUAAAUCAA